rnacentral:snRNA from 1 species
GUGCUCGCUUCAGCAGCACAUACACUAAAAUUGGAACCAUACAGAGAAAAUUAACAUGGCCCCUGCGCAAGGAUGACACACAAAUUCGUGAAGAGUCCCAUUUUUUA